UGAAAGCAAAAAUAUGAAAACAUCAAAAUCCCUUUCCUGUGAUCAAGGAAAGCACCAGAUCCCUUUCUUCUUUGAGAUUCAUUAAGAAUCUAAUUAGUUUUUCCUAUAUAAUAAUGUUUCACUCAGAUAAAGCAAAGGACACACAGGAUUAUCAAAAGGAAUGGAUCCAAUCUUGUUCAGUGCUGUGAUGAGAGGAAAUAUCAGAGAUGUCUAUUAUCAUUUGAUAAGGGAUGAAGAAUAUGGAUACCAAGUCACUCCAAAGGGUAACACGGUCCUUCAUGUCGCAGCCCUCUACGGCCACUCCCAUUUCGCGGCAGAAGUCCUUAAGAUUUCUCCGGCAAUGUUAUGCUGUCAAAACAAGAAAAAUGAAACCGCUCUUCACAUAGCAGCUAACGAAGGGCAUACUGAAGUUGUCCGUGUGCUACUUGCAUGUGUCGAAGAUCAUAAUACUAGUGAUAAACUCACAAGGAUAACAGAUGCUAGUGGAGAUACAGCCCUGCACAAGGCCGUGCGGAGCCAACAUCUAGAUGUGGUUAAGCUCUUAGUGAAAGAAGAUUCUGAAUUCGAAUUUCCACCUAAUCAUGCACAAGAGACGCCACUGUAUCUGGCGGCUGAAUCUGGUUUUCAUGAUGCUUUGAUUAACAUCUUGGAAUCCUGCAAUAAUCCAACUUAUGCUGCAGGUCCAUCUAAUAGAACGCCGCUGCAUGCAGCAGUAAUUCAGGAACAUAAAGAUUGCAUUAGAUCACUUUGGCAAUGGAAUAAGCCUUUAUGCGAGGAACCUGACUUAUGGGGUUGGAAUUCACUGCACUAUGCUGUCAAAUUAGGACUGAAAGACGUAGUUUCUGAUAUGCUGGGGUGGAAAAAAUCCUUAGUGUACCUUCCGGCAGGCAGUGAAAAUGACUGGACGACAGCAAUUCACAUUGCAGCCUGUGAAGGUGACGUAAACAUGAUAAAGAAGCUAUUAAAUCACUGCCCUGAUUGUUGCGAUACGCUUAACAGCAACAAUCAAAAUGCUCUUCAUAUUGCCGUAUUGAAAAAUCAAGACAAGGUAGUCCGCAUCUUAUUAGGCUCUGAUAAGUGCGACAGCCUUGUUGAUGAGCCAGAUAGUAACGGCAACACUCCUCUCCAUUUGCUUGCUGCCUCUGGUAACCAUGUGCCUGAAUUAAUAAACCAUCCUAGGGCAAAGAAGAUGUCAUUUAACAAAGAAAACCAGACUCCACUUGAUAUAGCAUUGUCAUGCAAGGUGACAACAAAGAAGGAGAAAUUGAUGGAGGAUUUGUCUAGCACUGGCCGAUUUGGAAAACGUGACUUUGAGGUAAAGCGGAAGUACGAGUACAUUGCCAAUCCGAAUGGUGAAACGGGAACAGGAGUCAAAAUGCAACUGAAUGAUGAAAUGGGAACAAGAGUCAAAAUGAGAUCGAGGGAAGAUGAUCACGAUAAAGCUAAAAAGGCAGAUCAAACAGUAAUCGAAAGUACUAUGAAGGUAGCUCAAAUCCAUAUUGUUGUGGCCACUUUGAUUAUGACAGUCACUUUUGCCGCUGGUAUCACAUUGCCAGGGGGUUUUGAGAGCGACCUUGAUAGCCAUAAUCAAGGGAUGGCGAUUCUGAUAAGGAAAACAGCAUUUCGUGCAUUUGUUGUUUCCGAUGCCAUUGCCUUCACAUUCUCAGCUUUUGCUAUAUUUAUCUAUUUCAUCAUGGCAGGUCAUAGCAGAUUUCCUCAACGUAAAAAAAUUGUAAUUAAGAUUUUUAAUCUCGCCGGUUAUUGUCUGUGCAUUUCAAUGUUAGCAGUUGUAAUUGCAUUCGCAACGGGUAUGUUUGCUACUUUAUCACAUUCACUUGGUCUAGCUGUUACUGUCUGUUUCAUAGGUUGCCUCACUAUUUUAUUGUACUUCUUGGUUCUUAUUUAUAUAGAUAGGAGUCUAGUGAGACAUGAAUAGCUAGCUACUACUUGUACUUAUUGCUUGCAGAUAUAUAAUUCAACUACAUAUUUCAGUUUUUACCCAAUGCCUUGAAUUACAUAUGAAUGAUAAGGUAUUUUAGUCCAUUACAUGUUAUUUUCUUCUAUUCAAAUUAUAAGUUGUCGCAGGAGAUCAUUUUUUACAAUGCUAUAGACCCAAUGUACAUUCUCUAAAUAAUCUAUGGUACAACAACAACAAUAUACGCAGUUAAAACUCCGCAUGUGGAGUUUGAGGAGGAAAGAGUAUACAUAGCUAUUACCCAUACAUUGGAAGGCAGAGAGGUUUUCGAAUUUUUAUAGACCUUCAUCGCAAAGAAAAACAAUUCAAAGCAGUUCAAAAAAGAAAUGCUAGAAGUAGAGAAGCCAUGACAAAAUACUUUUCCACUUAAGUAUAUUGAUUUUGUCUGUUGCAAGGUUCGAACAUGUCACAUGCGCCUAAUGACCUGAAGGGUCAUUACAACAUGUUGGCUCUACCUCCAGACUUUUCCGCUGUCCAUCCGGUUUUUCAUGUCUCUAUGUUGCGGAAGUAUAUUUCGGAUCCUUCUCAUGUGCUUAGAUGGGACUUGGUCCAGUUGGACGAUCAGUUGACGUUUGUGGAGGAGCCCGUGCUUGUAUUGGCUAGUGAUGUGAGGCGACUGCGUACUAGAGAGAUUUCUGUCGUUAAGGUUCAGUGGAGGCACCGCCCAGUGGAGGAGGCCACUUGGAAGUUAGAGAGAGAGAUGCGAGCCCAGUACCCUCACCUAUUUGAGACUUCAGGUACUUGCUUAUCUUUAACUUUCGGGGAUGCAAGUUCCUUAGUAGGGGAUGUUGUAAUGACCCUUCAGGUCAUUUGCCGUGUUCUUUCUUAUUUUCACUGAUAGAGCUCCUCCAUAGCCGUCCCAAGUCAUUAAUGACUUGCUAGAACCGAUAGUGCGAUUACCUGGCGGUUCGUUUGGUUUUUAGAACCACUUUUCCAAUUUGAGUCUUCGUCGAUUCUGAAUGGUCGUCCAGCGAAAAAUUCAGUAAAAUAAUUUUGGAUGCAAAUUUCGACUAUGCCAGCAGAUAUGUAAUAUCGAUUCUAGGAUGGAUAGACCCUUGGUUUAGAUCCCACAGCACCCAAGCUCAUUUCGACCCAUUAGUCUAAAAAGUCAAAAUUAAAAUAUGAGUGUGGGACCCACAAGUGGUUUAAAUGACCUCGUAUGGAAAAUCUGAGAUCACCAAUACGUCCGGAAUGUCAAAAUUAGUGGGGUUACAUAGUUCGUUUGCGAAAAAUUGAGUCCAAAUGAGUCCGGAAGGUCAAAAACAAAUUUUGACCUUGCGGGCCCAUUUAAAACCGUAUAAAAGGGAGUUUUGGCAGAUUUUGAGCAUUCUUCACCCCUAUUAAAACCCUAGCAUCCCUAGGAGAGUGGAGACUCAAAAAAAUUGGUCUUGUGGGUUGAUUGAAAGCUUAACAACUUGUGUAAUUCACCUUUCUACUAUAAAUCCAAUGUAUGAAUUUCUCUAAUUUGAUAUUAAUUUCAUGAUUUCUUGACUCAAAACCCUAAAUCAUUGUGGGUCAAUUGUAUCCCCAAAAUUGUGUGCUUGACUCAAAUUUCUUGAGGGUUUUAACUCCCUAAAGAUAAUUAGGCUAUGAGCUUGGAAACUCCUUUCCAAGGGUGAAACCCAAUUGGGGUUUUGGUGUCCAUUUGAAACCCAUGGCACAAUGAUGCCAUAAAGGGUAUUUUCAUUCUUAUUGUAAUGUUUGGAGUGUAUUGUUGAUAGCAUUGAUCGUGGAUGGAAAAGCUUCUCGGAAAGGAAGGAAAAAGUUCGUUGAUUCGUGAGUUGCUUGGAUUCAAGAUCCAGGUCCUAGUUGCCGCUGUUGAGCUAGUUCGUGCGAGUUGACUAUUCAGAGACAGGGUGAGUUCUUGGAGAUCGAGUUGCCCUUUUUCUCCUCUAUCCUUAUUUGUCUUUUACUUUUGAGACAAAUGUACGAGCUUAUUUAAGACAUUUUAGAUUCUGAGAUUGUAAAUUCCUCUCGUCAAAUUUAGAAGCUCUUGUAUUAAUACUAUUAGGUCGUGGGAUUUGUAUUUGAAUAUCGGUUGUCCUUAGUUGUAUAAAUAUUGUUAUAUAUUGUGUUUAUGCGUAGAGUCCAUGUUGGACGUUCUUACCAAGGUAACCCAUUUCCAUAGCUCCGGGUUACGGUAACGGCUUACCUACUGGAGGAAUGUGGUAAGUGCCACAUUACUCCAAACAGGGUCGUGACCACUGGAUGUGUAGACACUGUCAGACUCUUGGUGGAACAAGAUCCUGAUUUCGAGUUUCCAGCAAACAACGCCGGGGAGACACCACUCUAUCUGGCCACGGAGUCUGGUCUUGCAACUGUUUGUCAGAAAUCUUAGAACACUGCAACAGACCAACAUACAGCGGUCCAUGUGGCCGAACGGCUUUGCAUGCGGCAAUAAUUCAGAAACAAUUGGAUUGUGCGGCAUCACUGUGGGAAUGGAACAAAUCAUUAUGCGAGGAAACUGACAAAAUGGGAUUGGAAUCCACUGCAUUAUGCUGUUAAACAAGGAUUGAGAGUAGUAGUUCGUAAAAUGCUGGGGUGGAAGACAUCGUUACCCCACACUCACACAGGCAAUGGAAAUGACUGGGCAACAUCAAUCCAGAUAGCUUGGAAAUGCUUGACAGCAAUGGCCAAAAUGCUCUUCAUGUUGCCAUAUCGAAUUAUAAAACAGGAGUAGUCACAUUCUUAUUGUUGAAUGCGUAGGAAUCUCAUAACCUUAUCGACAAGCCAGAUAAUGAUGGCAACACUCCUCUCCAUUUGCUUGCUGCCUCCGACUGGAUAAGUGUGCCUGAUAAAUUAAGAAGACAUGCGAGUACAAAGAUGUCAUUUAACAAAGAAAACCAGACUCCGGUUGACAUAUUGUCUAGCACAGAGAAAACACUGCGUGUACGUACAUACAUGUUACUUUGCUAGCGUUUGGCCGUAGAUUUUUAAGAUGUAUCUUCAAAUAUAUUUGUUUGUGACAUGAAAUUUGGCAUGUUCAAAGAUCACAACAUCAAAAACUCGAAUUUUCAAGUUUCAACUUCAAAAUCUAUGGUCAAUUUAGCUACAAUCUAUUGGUAAUUUCGCGACUACAUGUAAUUAUUCUCACUCAUAUGCAACUAAAUACAUAAAGAUUGGUAUAUAUAGUAUGUUGGUUAU